rnacentral:rRNA from 1 species
UUUUGUUGGAGAGUUUGAUCCUGGCUCAGGACGAACGCUGGCGGCGUGCUUAACACAUGCAAGUCGAGCGGAAAGGCCCUUCGGGGUACUCGAGCGGCGAACGGGUGAGUAACAC